rnacentral:ncRNA from 1 species
UUUAAAGCAAAUAAGGGCGCAUGGCGGAUGCCUAGGCGUUGAGAGGCGAAGAAGGACGUGGUAAGCUGCGAUAAGCUUCGGGUAGCUGCAUACAAGCGUUAAUCCGGAGAUUUCCGAAUGGGACAACCUGGUACACUGAAGGUGUAUCACUCGAAAGAGAGCCAACCCAGGGAACUGAAACAUCUAAGUACCUGGAGGAAAAGAAAAUAACAAAUGAUUCCCUAAGUAGUGGCGAGCGAACAGGGAAGAGCCUAAACCGCAGCGGCGUGCUGCUGCGGGGUUGUAGGACUGCAUUUAGAAAGUAUCAUCAAAACGAAGCAUCUGGAAAGUUGCGCAACAUAAGGUGAAAGCCCUGUAGUUGGAAAUUGAUAUGGACGAGAAGUAUCCUGAGUAGCGCGGGACCGGAGAAAUCCUGCGUGAAUCUGCCGGCACCAUCCGGUAAGGCUAAAUACUCCUUAAUGACCGAUAGUGAACCAGUACCGUAAGGGAAAGGUGAAAAGUACUCCGAACAGGAGAGUGAAAUAGUACCUGAAACCGUACGCUUACAAGCGGUCGGAGCCUGUUAAAGGGUGACGGCGUGCCUUUUGCAUAAUGAACCUACGAGUUGCUCCUCACUGGCAAGGUUAAG